AUACGUAGGGAGCGAGCGUUGUCCGGAAUUACUGGGUGUAAAGGGAGCGUAGGCGGGAGUGCAAGUCAGAUGUGAAAUACAUGGGCUCAACCCAUGGGCUGCAUUUGAAACUGCAUUUCUUGAGUGAAGUAGAGGUAAGCGGAUUUCCUGGUGUAGCGGUGAAAUGCGUAGAUAUCAGGAGGAACACCGGUGGCGAAGGCGGCUUACUGGGCUUUUACUGACGCUGAGGCUCGAAAGCGUGGGGAGCAAACAGGAUUAGAUACCCUGGUGGUCCACGCUGUAAACGAUGAUUACUAGGUGUGGGGGGACUGACCCCUUCCGUGCCGCAGUUAACACAAUAAGUAAUCCACCUGGGGAGUACGGCCGCAAGGUUGAAACUCAAAUGAAUUGGCGGGG
rnacentral:rRNA from 1 species